AAGAACGAACGCUGGCGGCAUGCCUAACACAUGCAAGUCAACGGGAUCCUAGCUUGCUAGGUGAGAGUGGCGACGGGUGAGUAACACGUGGGAACCUGCCCUUGGGUUCGGAAUAACAGCGAGAAAUUGCUGCUAAUACCGGAUGAUGACGUAAGUCCAAAGAUUUAUCGCCCAAGGAUGAGCCCGCGUAGGAUUAGCUAGUUGGUGAGGUAAAGGCUCACCAAGGCGACGAUCCUUAGCUGGUCUGAGAGGAUGAUCAGCCACACUGGGACUGAGACACGGCCCAGACUCCUACGGGAGGCAGCAGUGGGGAAUAUUGGACAAUGGGCGAAAGCCUGAUCCAGCAAUGCCGCGUGAGUGAUGAAGGCCUUAGGGUUGUAAAGCUCUUUUACCCGGGAUGAUAAUGACAGUACCGGGAGAAUAAGCCCCGGCUAACUCCGUG
rnacentral:rRNA from 1 species